UAGUCCACGCAGUAAACGAUGAAUGUUAGUCGUCGGGUAGCUAGUCUAUUCGGUGAUGCAGCUAACGCAUUAAACAUUCCGCCUGGGGAGUACGGUCGCAAGAUUAAAACUCAAAGGAAUAGACGGGGACCCGCACAAGUGGUGGAGCAUGUGGUUUAAUUCGAAGGUACGCGAAGAACCUUACCUGGCCUUGACAUUGAAAGAAUCUGCUAGAGAUAGCGGAGUGCCUUCGGGAGCUUGAAAACAGGUGCUGCACGGCUGUCGUCAGCUCGUGUCGUGAGAUGUUGGGUUAAGUCCCGCAACGAGCGCAACCCUCGUCACUAGUUACUAACGGUUCGGCCGAGGACUCUAGUGAGACUGCCUUCGCAAGGGGGGAGGAAGGGUGAGGACGACGUCAAGUCAUCAUGGGCCCUUACGGGCCAGGGGCAACACACGUGCUACAAUGGGUUGGGGACAAUGAGACGCGAUACC
rnacentral:rRNA from 1 species